CUUCAGAUAGCUCAAUUGGUAGAUCAUGUGACUCUUAAUCUCAGCGUUGUGGAUUUGAGCCCCACGUUGGAUGA